CGGGGUGAGUAACACGUGGGUAACCUGCCUCAUAGAGUGGAAUAGCCUUCCGAAAGGAAGAUUAAUACCGUAUAACGUUGAAAGAUGGCAUCAUCAUUCAACCAAAGGAGUAAUCCGCUAUGAGAUGGACCCGCGGCGCAUUAGCUAGUUGGUGGGGUAACGGCCUACCAAGGCGACGAUGCGUAGCCGACCUGAGAGGGUGAUCGGCCACAUUGGGACUGAGACACGGCCCAG
rnacentral:rRNA from 1 species